rnacentral:rRNA from 1 species
CGGAGGCAGCAGUAAGGAAUUUUCUGCAAUGGGCGAAAGCCUGACAGAGCAAUACCGCGUGAGGGAUGAAGGCCUGUGGGUUGUAAACCUCUUUUCUCAGGAAAGAAGAUCUGACGUUACUUGAGGAAUAAGCAUCGGCUAACCCUGUGCCAGCAGCCGCGGUAAUACAGAGGAUGCAAGUGUUAUUCGGAAUUAUUGGGCGUAAAGCGUCUGUAGGUGGGCAAUUAAGUCUUUUGUCAAAUCUUUGGGCUUAACCCAAAGCGUGCAAAAGAAACUGUUUGUCUAGAGUCUGUUAGAGGUAAAGGGAAUUUCCAGUGGAGCGGUAAAAUGCGUAGAUAUUGGAAGGAACACCAAAAGCGAAAGCACUUUACUGGGCCAGUACUGACACUGAGAGACGAAAGCUAGGGGAGCAAACAGGAUUAGAUACCCUGGUAGUCG